rnacentral:rRNA from 1 species
GACGAACGCUGGCGGCGUGCUUAACACAUGCAAGUCGAACGGGAGUAUUGAAGAAGCUUGCUUUAGAGAUACUUUAGUGGCGGACGGGUGAGUAACGCGUGAGGAGCUGUCCGAUGCAGGGGGACAACAGUUGGAAACGACUGCUAAUACCCCAUAAGCCGAGAGGUAAAAGGAUUUAUCCGGCAUGGGAGGUACUCGCGUCCUAUCAGCUAGUAGGUGAGGUAACGGCUCACCUAGGCGAAGACGGGUAGCCGGCCUGAGAGGGCGAACGGCCACACUGGAACUGGGAUACGGUCCAGACUCCUACGGGAGGCAGCAGUGGGGAAUAUUGGGCAAUGGGGGGAACCCUGACCCAGCGACGCCGCGUGGGUGAAGAAAUCCUUCGGGAUGUAAAGCCCUGUUGUAUGGGAAGAGCGGAAGACGGUACCAUACGAGGAAGCCCCGGCAAACUACGUGCCAGCCGCCGCGGUAA